ACAGAGUACCGUUAUGUGCGACGCCCAUGGGUGACAGCAACAAUGGGGAAGAAGGGUGGGGACGUAAUCAAAGAGGAAGAGAAGAAGGAAUCAAGCAAAGAAGGGCAAAAUCUUUGGGGCCACCGAGGUUCAAGGAGGCGAAUUGGCGGUUCAAGUGCAUGGAGACGGAUCACAAGCUGCCGGCCCAUGCCAGAGACAGCAAGCACUGCCGCCUCUUGGGCUGAUCGACGCCGCUCUCUCGAACAACGAACGCCCUCUCAAUGCGUUCCGUCAAGAUCCUUAGUCCGGGAUUGGUUUUUGUGAUUGCUUGUGCUUUCUUAGUUCAGUUUUGUGGAGAUUGUGUUUUAGCUGAUUAAGUGUGUGUAUAGAAGGAACAUGUUUUGAAUCAACAGAACAGAGCUGACCUGAGUGAAAGAGGAAUCAGCAGAAGCUCCAACAGCUGUUCAAUCAAAAAGAAGCAGAGCUAAUAGCUAGUGUGCCCUGAGCCUGUGUAGGAGGAGAGACAGGAUUUUCUGGAAAUACUCCAAAUUAGGUUCAUAUACAGUAAAAUCUGGGUAUACAAUUGCUAAGCAGGAUAAACACAGCGGAUAAGGAGGGAGGAAGAGAGAGCUGAGACCAGCUGCGAGAUAAGAAAGCACACUGUCUGGAAAAAGCUGUGGAAUCUGAACUUGAAGGCGAAGCUGAAACACUUCAUGUGGAAUUGUCCACAAAAUUGCUUGCCAGUGAAGGAGGUCAUCUAUAAAAGAACUGGUAAAGGGGAUAAAAUAUGUGAGUGCUGUGGGGAGGCAACUGAGACAGUAGAGCACCUGUUUUUCCAUUGUCCAAUGGCAGAAAUGACAUGGAAAAUGGCACCAAUUAGAGAUAAGAGAUAAUAUAUGGAUGUGGUGGGAAACAGUAGUACAGUCAGAGGAAAAAGCUCAAGGAAGAGAUCAAAUUAACUUCACAAUCAAUAUUUUGUGGCAGUUAUGGAAGGCAAUAAACAAGAGAAUCUUUGAGCACAGAGUGACAGAAGCAAGAGACAUAGUGCAAAUGGCACAACAGGAAUGGAUGGUGUUCAAAAUGGCUAAUGCAACUGAUGAGGAAAAGGUCAAAACAACAACAACAGGAGAGAUGGGAACUACCAAAGCUGGGAGUUGUUAAGAUUAACACAGAUGCAGCCAUAUCAACUCAAAUGGUAAGAAUAGGGAAGGGAAUUAUAGCGAGGAACUGGACUGGAAAAAUAAUGAAAGCAAGGGGUAUAGUGGAAUGGAAGAGUGGAAAAGCCGUUGAGGAAGAAGCUCUGGCAGUAAGAGUUGCGCUUAGGAUGGCAAAAGAUGCAAGAUGGACUAAGAUAAAGUCCAAUCAGAUUGCAAAUCCGUGGUGGACCAAAUCAAUGCAAGCAAUGUUCAAGACAUUAGUAUUGCAACAGUCCUGGAGGAUAUUGAGGAGAUGAAGAAAGAAUUUGAACAGUGCAACUUUUCUUUUGUGUAUAGAGCAGGGAAUGUGUGUAGCCAUACACUAGCUCAAUAUGCAAUCAGGCUAGUAAAUGAUAUACAAUGGGACACUGAGUUCCCGGUAUGGUUAAUGGAUAUAGCAAGGAAAGAUAUGAGGGCGGUCGCCCCUUUUUGUAACUAAAUCUUGUAUUAUCAAGUGUUAAUAUAUGAAAGUACUGUUACCGUUUGUG